rnacentral:rRNA from 1 species
CAGUCGCCACGGUAAUACGUAGGUGGCAAGCGUUGUCCGGAAUUAUUGGGCGUAAAGGGCUCGCAGGCGGUUUCUUAAGUCUGAUGUGAGAGCCCCCGGCUCAACCGGGGAGGGUCAUUGGAGACUGGGAAACUUGAGUGCAGAAGAGGAGAGUGGAAUUCCACGUGUAGCGGUGAAAUGCGUAGAGAUGUGGAGGAAUACCAGUGGCGAAGGCGACUCUCUGGUCUGUAACUGACGCUGAGGAGCGAAAGCGUGGGGAGCGAACAGGAUUAGAUACCCCAGUAGUCCCUGUCUCUUAUAC